AGAGUUUGAUCCUGGCUCAGAACGAACGCUGGCGGCGUGCUUAACACAUGCAAGUCGAACGGGAUCCAGAGCUUGCUCUGGUGAGAGUGGCGCACGGGUGAGUAACGCGUGGAUAACCUGCCCUGGUAUCCGGAAUAACAUCUCGAAAGGGGUGCUAGUACCGGAUAAGCCUACGGAGCCCUCGGUCUCUGCAGGAAAAGGUGGCCUCUAUUUAUAAGCUACCGUAUCAGGAUGGGUCCGCGUACCAUUAGCUAGUUGGUGGGGUAAUGGCCUACCAAGGCGACGAUGGUUAGCUGGUCUGAGAGGAUGAUCAGCCACACUGGAACUGAGUCACGGCCCAGACUCCUACGGGAGGCAGCAGUGGGGAAUUUUGCGCAAUGGGGGAAACCCUGACGCAGCAACGCCGCGUGAGUGAUGAAGGCUUUCGGGUCGUAAAGCUCUGUCAGAGGGGAAGAAAUGAGAUUGGCUAAUAUCCAAUUUUCUUGACGGUACCCUCAAAGGAAGCACCGGCUAACUCCGUGCCAGCAGCCGCGGUAA
rnacentral:rRNA from 1 species